GUGUCUGGCUCCCAGUGAAGAUGCCCUUGGCUGCUACAGCUUUGUGGAAACUUUACCCUAAAUAACUGCAACCACACAGAAUGUGUUGUGCUUUUUUGCAGAGACAGAGUCUCGCUCUGUCACCCAGGCUGGAACACAGUGGCACAAUCUCAGCUCACUGCAGCCUCGACCUCCCAGGCUCAAGUGAUAACUUUCUACCUCAACCUCCCAAGUAGCUAGGACCACAGGUGCUAGGACUACAGGCAGGUGCCACCACAUCUGGCUAGUUUUUAAUUAAAAAAAAAAUUAUAUAAAUGGGUCUCACUGUGUUUCCCAGGCUGGUCUCCAACUCCUAAGCUCAAACAGUUCUCCCACCUCAGCCUCUCAAAGGGCUGGGACACAGCACUUUGGGAGGCUGAGGCGGGCAGAUCACAAGGUCAAGAGAUCGAGACCAUCCUGGCCAAAAUGGUGAAACCCGUCUCUACUAAAAAUACAAAAAUUAGCUGGGCGUGGUGGUGCGUGCCUGUAGUCCCAGCUACUCGGGAGGCUGAGGCAGGAGAAUUGCUUGAACCUGGGAGGCGGAGGUUGCAGUGAGAGGAGAUUGCACCACUGCACUCCAGCCUGGUGCCUGGCAAUGGAAUGAGACUGUCUCAAAAAAAAAAAAAAGUGCUGGGAUUACAGGUGUGAGCCACCAUGCCCAGCCAGAAUGUAUUAUCUCACCCAAGAAGAGGGCUUCAGGCAGGGCGCGCCAGGUUUGGAUAAUUCAGAGCUCAACAGCUUCCAGGUUCUUCCUACUCUGCCAUCCUCAGAAUAUAAGCUGCCUUCUCAGGUGGAUCUCCUCAUGGUGAAAGAAUGGCUGCCACAGACUCAGACCUCAAGCCCACAGCGAGACACGACAACAUCUGUAGCUGUCUCAGAGAGUCACGAGGGCCAAAGGAGAUAUCCAGGCACAUGCUCAGCACAGCAUCCGAGAGCAGAAAGGGCUGAUAAAUGGAAGCGCCUGGCUCUUGGAGAGAGGCCGCCACUUGGUGAAGUAGAAGUACGUAGGAUAAAGGGGACUGAACUCUACCCGCAACUCUAGCACUGCCUGUGAGUCCCGUGUGAAGGCUGUGAGCCACAUCACCCAAAUUAAAAAGAGUGAAAUAGAAUUAAUCACAAGAAUAUGGAAAACUCCAGAACAGAUUUUUCUCUGGCGCCUGGAGCCUAACAUUCAAUAGCCUACUGAGCCGCUCAGUUAGACCCCUCCUGGGGUCCAUCAAGUCAAGAAACCCAAAUGGACCCUCUUCCACACAAACCCCACCCACGCCUCCUGCAUUUCCUGGCUCAAGAGUAGCACUGGUCCCCAGAAAGCUAGAAACCAUAAUCUUU
rnacentral:lncRNA from 13 species